UCUGAGAUACCAGUAUCGCCUAGAAAGAAAAUCCAGUCUCUUGGUGCAAGCUACCCGGAAACCAUGUUUAAUCUGAAGACAGAUCACCAUCAGGAUGGCAAGAAGAAUUGAAAAGGCAACCUCAUCCAUUGCAUUUGCCUCAAUAAUAGCAUGUUACAGAAAUCUUGAAUUGCUUGAUUUGACUGGACAAGCUGUUAUUGCGACAACUUUCAUACCCGAUGACCUUUGCAAUGUUCAGCUAUAGAAGUUAUAGCUGAUUAUUUUGUAAACAUUAACAUUUUAGGAAUGAGAUUUCAGAAAUUAUAUUUUGUAUUUUUAAUUGAUGAAUCUUUUUUUAAAAGUAUACGAAUGAAUGCAAUUUUCA